rnacentral:rRNA from 1 species
GUGGGGAAUAUUGGACAAUGGGCGAAAGCCUGAUCCAGCCAUGCCGCGUGUGUGAAGAAGGUCUUCGGAUUGUAAAGCACUUUAAGUUGGGAGGAAGGGCAGUAAGUUAAUACCUUGCUGUUUUGACGUUACCGACAGAAUAAGCACCGGCUAACUUCGUGCCAGCAGCCGCGGUAAUACGAAGGGUGCAAGCGUUAAUCGGAAUUACUGGGCGUAAAGCGCGCGUAGGUGGUUUUGUAAGUUGGAGGUGAAAUCCCCGGGCUCAACCUGGGAACUGCCUCCAAAACUGCAUGACUAGAGUACGGUAGAGGGUAGUGGAAUUUCCUGUGUAGCGGUGAAAUGCGUAGAUAUAGGAAGGAACACCAGUGGCGAAGGCGACUACCUGGACUGAUACUGACACUGAGGUGCGAAAGCGUGGGGAGCAAACAGGAUUAGAAACCCCUGGUAGUCC